AACGAACGCUGGCGGCAGGCCUAACACAUGCAAGUCGAACGCCGUAGCAAUACGGAGUGGCAGACGGGUGAGUAACGCGUGGGAACCUUCCCUAUGGUUCGGAAUAGCUCAGGGAAACCGGGGGUAAUACCGGAUAAGCCCUUCGGGGGAAAGAUUUAUCGCCAUUGGAUGGGCCCGCGUAGGAUUAGCUAGUUGGUGAGGUAAUGGCUCACCAAGGCGACGAUCCUUAGCUGGUCGUAGAGGAGGAUCAGCCACACUGGGACUGAGACACGGCCCAGACUCCUACGGGAGGCAGCAGUGGGGAAGAUUGGACAAUGGGCGAAAGCCUGAUCCAGCCAUGCCGCGUGAGUGACGAAGGCCUUAGGGUUGUAAAGCUCUUUUGGCGGGGAAGAUAAUGACGGUACCCGCAGAAUAAGCUCCGGCUAACUUCGUGCCAGCAGCCGCCGUAAAAC
rnacentral:rRNA from 1 species